UGCAUCUGUCCGGCUUUUGCGCGCAACUGAGGAGCUCUGAGAUCUUUCUACAUCUUUUCAGACAUUUCAUGGACUUCAUUGAUCAGACUUUAGCCCUGGUAAAACACCCCAACGCCUAACUCUCCCUUAAUCCUUGCAGAGCACCCCUGUCGCAGCUCAGGGCACCGCUCUUGCCGCCGAUGGCUCUGGAGGAGAAGCGGCAGCCCAGCUCCCAGCUCUCCAGAUGGGGAUGAGCUGAGCAGCAAGUUAUUUGAGAACCUCUCUGACCUGCCGUGGCACAGAGAAGACGCUGACCCAGGCCUGGGAAGGGUGCUUUCUUUUCCGCAGAGGCGGCUCGCAGCGUGCAGCCCUUCCCAAACCCUGCUGUCCCCCGGGCAGGGGGCUUCUGCAAUGAUGGAAAGAGCACGGCAGGACCACACUUGCCAGGAGGCUGUGGGAGUCCUACCCUGAGCUGAGCGGGGACGGGCACAGCAGCCUGCGGGACGCGCAGAGCUACCGUGAGCAGGCCGAGCUUCUUUCUAGCUUCACCUUUCUCCUGGCACCAGCAAAACCACAUCCAGGAAUCAGGAAGGGGAUUUGGGACGCUGCUUCUCCGCGCAAGGCUGACCGGCUCCGAUAUUACCGUGGCUGUAUCGGCAAGACCCCAAUAAUGGAAAAAAACUGCGUGAGCAGUCAAAGAUGUGUGAAGCUGCCACCAAGAUAGUUAGGAUAAACUGUAAUUAACCACAUUUAAGCUUAAUUGCAUUAAGGGGGAGGGGGAAGUGAAAGCUGAAAGCAGAUUAUGGAUCUGGCUUAUAAUUCAAUUUGUGCAACAGCUAGGAAAGAAGGGACCGCAUUCUCCAGCAGCGUGUUAGCAACGCAGGAGGCGUGGAGCUACUAGGACUCUAGAGACGAUCGGUGAGCAGAAAGA